GACUCUCGGCAACGGAUAUCUCGGCUCUUGCAUCGAUGAAGAAUGUAGCAAAAUACGAUACUUGGUGUGAAUUGCAGAAUCCCGUGACCCAUCGAGUCUUUGAACGCAAGUUGCGCCGGAGGCCACUCGGCCGAGGGCACGCCUGCCUAGGCAUC
rnacentral:rRNA from 1 species